rnacentral:rRNA from 1 species
GAUGAACGCUGGCGGCGUGCUUAACACAUGCAAGUCGAACGGAAAGGCCCAAGCUUGCUUGGGUACUCGAGUGGCGAACGGGUGAGUAACACGUGGGUGAUCUGCCCUGCACUUCGGGAUAAGCCUGGGAAACUGGGUCUAAUACCGGAUAGGACCACUUCUUGGAUGUUGUGGUGGAAAGUUUUUUCGGUGUGGGAUGAGCUCGCGGCCUAUCAGCUUGUUGGUGGGGUAAUGGCCUACCAAGGCGUCGACGGGUAGCCGGCCUGAGAGGGUGUACGGCCACAUUGGGACUGAGAUACGGCCCAGACUCCUACGGGAGGCAGCAGUGGGGAAUAUUGCACAAUGGGCGCAAGCCUGAUGCAGCGACGCCGCGUGGGGGAUGACGGCCUUCGGGUUGUAAACUCCUUUCGCUAGGGACGAAGCGUUUUGUGACGGUACCUGGAGAAGAAGCACCGACUAACUACGU